rnacentral:rRNA from 1 species
GCGACACUUUCGCAAGCCGCACGAGAAAGAGCAAUAACAGGUCUGUGAUGCCCUUAGAUGUACGGGGCUGCACGCGUGCUACACUGACGGCGUCAGCGUGCGUUCAAGCCCGGCCUGGCAAGGCCAGGAAAUCGGUUGAAACGUUCUCGUGGCUGGGACAGAGAAUUGCAAUUAUUUCCCUCGAACGAGGAAUUCCCAGUAAGCGCGAGUCAUCAGCUUGCGUUGACUACGUCCCUGCCCUUUGUACACACCGCCCGUCGCUACUACCGAUUGGAUGACUUAGUGAGGCCUUUGGACCGAUGCCGCCGGUGUUCGGCCG